AUAUUCUUAACAUUUAGAACAGUAUUUUAUACAUAGCUGCCACUCAAAUGAUGAGUGAAUGCAGUUGAAAUUCUGGACUUAAUCUCCUGGCAUUGGUUUGCAUAAACAGGUCUCCCUUAGCUUGAUAGCCUCUAAAUGCAUCUAUAAAUAUUGUUUCUGUAUUACAGCCUGAAUCAUAAGAGUCCACCAAAGUACUGACUUCUUGUGAGACCUGAUUUCAGCAUGGUCACACUCUCUGCCAUCUCUGUCUUAGUUCUAUAUAACCUGAAAGAGACGAAGACCUCUUUGAAGCUUUCUGAUCUUCCCACGUUCACAGUUAGAACUGAAGAACUGAUCAGCAAGAUUCUGGUUGCUUCUUAUUUCUAUUUUGAGGACCAGUUGUUGCGGUUUAGUCAUGUUUGUAGUCUUGGUGACACUGGAAAACAACACAGCUGA
rnacentral:lncRNA from 1 species